rnacentral:rRNA from 1 species
UACAGGGGGUGCAAGCGUUGCUCGGAAUUAUUGGGCGUAAAGCGCGCGUAGGCGGCUAUCUAAGUCGGAUGUGAAAGCCCCUGGCUUAACUGGGGAAGUGCACCCGAAACUGGGUAGCUAGAGUGCGAAAGAGGGUCGCGGAAUUCCCGGUGUAGAGGUGAAAUUCGUAGAUAUCGGGAGGAACACCGGUGGCGAAGGCGGCGACCUGGGUCGACACUGACGCUGAGGCGCGAAAGCGUGGGGAGCAAACAGG